AACAUGGUGUCACAAACCCAGGUUAUCCUGUCCCUGCUGCUCUGGGUGUCUGGUGCCUGUGCAGAUAUUGUGAUGACCCAGUCUCCAUCCUCCUUGGCUCUGUCAGCAGGAGAGAAGGUCACCAUCAGCUGCAAGUCCAGUCAGAGUCUUUUAUUUUUUGGUACUAACUCCUUGGCUUGGUACCAGCAGAAACCAGGACAGGCUCCUAAACUACUGAUCUACUAUGCAUCCACUCGGCAAACUGGGGUCCCUGAUCGCUUCACAGGCAGUGGAUCUGGGACAGAUUUCACUCUCACCAUCAGCAGUGUUCAGGCUGAAGACGUGGCAGAUUAUUACUGUCAGCAAGCUAACCAAGCAGCGUGGAGUUUCGUUCUGGGCACCCAGUGA